rnacentral:rRNA from 1 species
UGGGGAAUUUUGGACAAUGGGCGCAAGCCUGAUCCAGCCAUGCCGCGUGAGUGAAGAAGGCCUUCGGGUUGUAAAGCUCUUUCAGUUGGGAAGAAACGAUUGCAACUAAUAAUUGUAAUUAAUGACGGUACCGACAGAAGAAGCACCGGCUAACUACGUGCCAGCAGCCGCGGUAAUACGUAGGGUGCGAGCGUUAAUCGGAAUUACUGGGCGUAAAGGGUGCGCAGGCGGUUUUGUAAGUCAGAUGUGAAAUCCCCGGGCUUAACCUGGGAAUGGCGUUUGAAACUGCAAGGCUAGAGUGUAGCAGAGGGGAGUGGAAUUCCGCGUGUAGCAGUGAAAUGACGUAGAUAUGCGGAGGAACACCGGAUGGCGAAGGCAGCUCCCUGGGCUAACGACGUGACC